rnacentral:rRNA from 1 species
GGGAUAACCCUGGGAACUGGGGUAAUACCGGAUAUAUGGAGAUACCUGGAAUGGUUCUCCACUUAAAGCUCCGGCGCCUAAGGAUGGAUCUGCGGCAGAUUAGGUCGUUGGUGGGGUAAUGGCCCACCAAGCCUUUGAUCUGUACGGGUUGUGAGAGCAAGAGCCCGGAGAUGGAUUCUGAGACACGAAUCCAGGCCCUACGGGGUGCAGCAGGCGCGAAAACUUUACAAUGCUGGCAACAGCGAUAAGGGAACCUCGAGUGCCAGGUUACAAAUCUGGCUGUCGAGAUGCCUAAAAAGCAUUUCAUAGCAAGGGCCGGGCAAGACCGGUGCCAGCCGCCGCGGUAACACCGGCGGCUCGAGUGGUAACCGUUAUUAUUGGGUCUAAAGGGUCUGUAGCCGGCCGGAUAAGUCUCUUGAGAAAUCUGGCAGCUUAACUGUCAGGCUUUCAGGAGAUACUGUCUGGCUCGAGGCCGGGAGAGGUGAGAGGUACUUCAGGGGUAGGGGUGAAAUCUUGUAAUCCUUGAAGGACCACCAGUGGCGAAGGCGUCUCACCAGAACGGACCUGACGGCAAGGGACGAAAGCUAGGGGCACGAACCGGAUUAGAUACCCGGGUAGUCCUAGCCGUAAACGAUACUCGCUAGGUGUCGGCCACGGUGCGACCGUUGUCGGUGCCGUAGGGAAGCCGUGAAGCGAGCCACCUGGGAAGUACGGCCGCAA